CGCGAGGCCGGGGGCCGAAUCGAGACGGCGGGAGACCGGGCCUGGCCGUCCAGCGCCGCUCCCUCCAGCCCCAGUCCGCCUUCUCAGCGCUCUCCGCCUGGGCCAGCGGACCACUAGCCGCGUCCGCGUCCUGGAUCAGAGAUGAAGUAAUGGCUGAGCAACUGAAAACGAAAACCGAAACGGCCUUCCACUCUGCACGAUUCUGAGCGGACGCCCAACACCAGCAGCUGCAUCAGUGAAAACCGGUGCAACCCGAGGCCGGCGCAGGCUCCAGCUCGAGGAGCGGUCGGGCUUUGCCGAAAGUCUGGGGCCGGCCCGUGGGUGCCAAGCUUCCGCGUACCGAUAUGAAGCUGUCAGCACGUCUGAAAACGGAUCACUUUUAAAAUCUGUGACCUGCUGGGUGUCGAGGACAACGGGGUCGAGGACAGCGUCAAUUCCCGAGUCUUCCUCUGCAUCUCCACGGGCCUUCUGCGGAAGUAGUCAUGACGACGAGGCACCACCCCCCACCCUGCGCGGACAGUUCCUCUCAGCGUAAGCUUUUGCAAACAUUCGGGUCACGCAGGAGAAAAUAAUACAGCUAAUGACACUGCUGCUGCCGUCACUUUCCCCACAAAAAUAUUACUUAAAAAAUGGACUACACGUUAAAUAAAUAUUCUGUUAUUAAUCCUUAAAUAUAUUAACACCAAAAAUCAUGUAUAAAUUAAGGAAAUAAAUGUACAAACUAUCUCA